GGCGGAGUACCCGGAGAAAACCCACGUUUGUACGGGGAGAACAUGCAAACUCCACACAGAGAUGGCAGAUGGGUGGAAUUGAACUUGGGUCUCCUAGCUGUGUGGCCUGCACUCUAACCACUCGUCGCUGUGCAGCCUCCUACAGGUUUUUAUGCAUGGUCCUCUGCCAGUGGAUCCAAAUAGUUGGUGUCAGCGUAGAGCAGGAAGCCCGAAAACAAGCUGUCAGCCCAACCUGGGUCAGCAAAUAAACCGUUCUGGUCAUGGUAGAAGAUCUCCACCCACACCUCAUCUUCAAUGUUCAGCAGUCCAGACUUCCUAGUCCCCGGCCACCUCCUCCAGCUCCAGCGGGAGGACACCAAGGCGUUCCCAGAGACAUAAAUCCCUCCAGCAUGUCCUAGGUCUGCCCCGGGCCUUUUCCCGGCUGGGCAUGCCACCUCACCAGGGAGCCGUCUGGGAGGUAUCCGGACUAGAUGCCCGAGCCAUCUCAACUGGCUCCAUGUGAAGGAGAAGCGGCUCUACUCUUAGACCCUCCCGGAUGAAGCUCAUGACCAUAGGUGAGGGUGGGAACAUAUGUAGAUCCAUCGGUAAAUUGACACCUUUGCCUUCCGACUCAGCUCUCUUUUCAUCACGACGGUCCGAUACGGCGACUGCACACUCCCACCUCUCUCACUCGUGAACAAAACCCCAAGAUACUUGAACUCCUACACCUGGAGCAGGACCUCAUUCCCAACCCAGAGGGAGCACUCUACCCUUUUCCAACUGAGAGCCAUGGCCUCUGAUUUGGAGGUGCUGAGUCUCAUCCCAGAAGCUUCACACUCAGAUGCAUACCGUCCCAGUAAACGCUUGAAGGUCGCAGCCCGAAGAGGCCAUCAGCACCACAUCAUCUGCAAAUAGCAAAGAUCAGAUCCAAAGGCCCCCGAACCGGACAAUUUUUUGAUUGCUUCAUCCAAAUGUUGACUGCGCUCCAGUCGCCUCCUUUGGCACAAUAAACAUGCUGCAGCUGAGUGAUGUUAGGUAACUAACGCUGCAUGUUUCUGCAUGCUGAGGUGAACAUACGUCAUUUAUGCGUCUCACGCACACGAAAAUAUAAAUAUAUUCAUCUUUCCAUCUUUUCAUCACGAUGAUCAUAGUAAUAACACAUUUUUUGUGUGUCCUGUCCAGCCAUUGGAGCAGAUAGUAUUAUUGAUCUAUACGCCCUUACAUGCUAAACAGACUGGGAAAAGUCAGGGAAAAGUGUAAGUUACACCUUCCCUGCGCCUUCCCUGUUAUAUGAAGUAUUAUUUGGCUUCAUUUGAUGUUUCGUUGUUAUGAAAAUUUGGAGCGGUUGGACCGGAGCAGGAGGGGAUAGAAAAUUUUUCUUAAAAAUUUUAUAAGAAAAUUAUCUACAAGCUACUAAAAUUAAAAAGUUUAUUAUUGCC